rnacentral:rRNA from 1 species
GACGGAGGGGGCUAGCGUUGUUCGGAAUUACUGGGCGUAAAGCGUGCGUAGGCGGCCUUUCAAGUUGGGUGUGAAAGCCCGGGGCUUAACCCCGGAAAUGCGCCCAAGACUGUUUGGCUAGAGACCGGGAGAGGUGAGUGGAACUCCCAGUGUAGAGGUGAAAUUCGUAGAUAUUAGGAAGAACACCAGUGGCGAAGGCGACUUUCUGGACGGUUCCUGACGCUGAGGCGCGAAAGCUAGGGGAGCAAACAGG